rnacentral:rRNA from 1 species
GACGAACGCUGGCGGCGUGCUUAACACAUGCAAGUCGAACGGAAAGGCCUGCUUUCCCUUGUGGAUUGCGGGUACUCGAGUGGCGAACGGGUGAGUAACACGUGAGUGAUCUGCCCCCAACUUGGGUAUAAGCCUGGAAAACUGGGUCUAAUUCCCGAUAGGACUGCAGGGUGGUGCCUGUGGUGGAAAACGAUUUUCUAGUGGUUGGGGAUGAGCUCGCGGCCUAUCAGCUUGUUGGUGGGGUAAUGGCCUACCAAGGCGGCGACGGGUAGCCGGCCUGGGAGGGUGGACGGCCACAUUGGGACUGAGAUACGGCCCAGACUCCUACGGGAGGCAGCAGUGGGGAAUAUUGGACAAUGGGCGGAAGCCUGAUGCAGCGACGCCGCGUGGGGGAUGACGGCCUUCGGGUUGUAAACUCCUUUCGACCGCGAGGAAGCCACCUGGUUGGAAGGGUGGUGACGGUAGUGGUAGAAGAAGCACCGGCUAACUACGUG